GUUAAUUAUUUGCUUCAUAAAUAAUAAAUAUCGAGUUUUAUUAAUUUAGAUUCUUAUUCCUCCUAGCUAUUCAGGAUUGACUUCCCUGACUUGAAUUCCAUUCACAACAAUCUAUCACAUCACCUAUGCAUAUAUCAUAUACACUGAUUUUUCAUGUUCCAUUGCAUCCAUGGGCAGUUCUUGUUAAAUUUCAAACAUAUAUGUACAAAAAAUUUAAAUUACGAUUACAAGAAAGUGUUUGCAAUAAAAACUAAAAAUUUAAAUUUAUAAAUAAU